rnacentral:rRNA from 1 species
CCUACGGGUGACAGCAGUGGGGGAUAUUGCACAAUGGGGGAAACCCUGAUGCAGCGACGCCGCGUGUGUGAAGAAGGUUUUCGGAUUGUAAACCACUGUCCGCGGUGAAGAUAAUGACGGUAACCAAGUAGAAAGCUCCGGCUAACUACGUGCCAGCAGCCGCGGUAAUACGUAGGGAGCAAGCGUUAUCCGGAUUUAUUGGGUUUAAAGGGAGCGUAGGCGGCAGGUCAAGCCUGCAGUGAAAUGCCCGGGCUUAACCCGGGCCCUGCAGGGCGAACUGGCGUGCUUUAGUGCGCGGAAGGCAAGUGGAAUUCGUAGUGUAGCGGUGAAAUGCUUAGAUAUGAGGAAGAACCCCGAUUGCGAAGGCAGCUUGCUGCAGCGGAACUGACGUUGAUGCUCGAAAGCGUGGGUAUCGAACAGGAUUAGAUACUCUUGUAGUC